AUUGAACGCUGGCGGCAGGCCUAACACAUGCAAGUCGGACGAGUGGCGGACGGGUGAGUAAUGUAUGGGGAUCUGCCUUAUGGAGGGGGAUAACUACUGGAAACGGUAGCUAAUACCGCAUACCAUCAGAUGAACCCAAGUGGGAUUAGCUAGUAGGUGAGGUAACGGCUCACCUAGCCGACGAUCCCUAGCUGGUCUGAGAGGAUGACCAGCCACACUGGGACUGAGACACGGCCCAGACUCCUACGGGAGGCAGCAGUGGGGAAUAUUGCACAAUGGGCGCAAGCCUGAUGCAGCCAUGCCGCGUGUAUGAAGAAGGCCUUCGGGUUGUAAAGUACUUUCAGUCGGGAGGCGUUACCGACAGAAGAAGCACCGGCUAACUCCGUGCCAGCAGCCGCGGUAAUUC
rnacentral:rRNA from 1 species